UAAGAUAACAUUUAUUAAGUGGAUUGAAUGGAUAUAUGUCUUGUGAAUGCAUUCAAUCAAGUUGAUUUCAAGUUUGGUUCAAAUUGAACAAGUAUAGCUCAAUUGCUUGAAAUCUGUCCAACAUUGAGAAUCUGAGCUAGCUGAGAUCAAGUCUGCUUUUGAGUGAUCAAAUCUUAUUGAAAUGGCUUGAAAUUUGGUGUGCAUGCUGUACACUUAUGAUAGAAAGUGCUGUAG
rnacentral:lncRNA from 1 species